GAUCAUGGCUCAGGACGAACGCUGGCGGCGUGCUUAACACAUGCAAGUCGAACGAAGAGCGGUGGAAGCUUGCUUCUAUCAAUCUUAGUGGCGAACGGGUGAGUAACGCGUAAUCAACCUGCCCCUUCAGAGGGGGGACAACAGUUGGAAACGACUGCUAAUACCGCAUACGAUCCAAUCUCGGCAUCGAGACUGGAUGAAAGGUGGCCUCUAUUUAUAAGCUAUCACUGAAGGAGGGG
rnacentral:rRNA from 1 species